AUAUUGGACAAUGGGGGCAACCCUGAUCCAGCCAUGCCGCGUGAGUGAUGAAGGCCUUCGGGUUGUAAAGCUCUUUUGGCGGGGAAGAUGAUGACGGUACCCGCAGAAUAAGCCCCGGCUAACUUCGUGCCAGCAGCCGCGGUAAGACGAAGGGGGCUAGCGUUGUUCGGAAUUACUGGGCGUAAAGCGCGUGUAGGCGGUUGUCCAAGUCGGGUGUGAAAGCCUUGAGCUCAACUCAAGAAAUGCACUCGAUACUGGGUGACUUGAGGACCGGAGAGGAUAGUGGAAUUCCCAGUGUAGUGGUGAAAUACGUAGAGAUUGGGAAGAACACCAGUGGCGAAGGCGGCUAUCUGGACGGUUUCUGACGCUAAGACGCGAAAGCGUGGGGAGCAAACAGG
rnacentral:rRNA from 1 species